AACUCUGGUAUUGAUUGGUGCUUGCAUCAUGAUUUACAUUUGAGUGAGUGGCGAACUGGUGAGUAACACGUGGGAAACCUGCCCAGAAGCGGGGGAUAACACCUGGAAACAGAUGCUAAUACCGCAUAACAACUUGGACCGCAUGGUCCGAGCUUGAAAGAUGGCUUCGGCUAUCACUUUUGGAUGGUCCCGCGGCGUAUUAGCUAGAUGGUGGGGUAACGGCUCACCAUGGCAAUGAUACGUAGCCGACCUGAGAGGGUAAUCGGCCACAUUGGGACUGAGACACGGCCCAAACUCCUACGGGAGGCAGCAGUAGGGAAUCUUCCACAAUGGACGAAAGUCUGAUGGAGCAACGCCGCGUGAGUGAAGAAGGGUUUCGGCUCGUAAAACUCUGUUGUUAAAGAAGAACAUAUCUGAGAGUAACUGUUCAGGUAUUGACGGUAUUUAACCAGAAAGCCACGGCUAACUACGUGCCAGCAGCCGCGGUAAUACGUAGGUGGCAAGCGUUGUCCGGAUUUAUUGGGCGUAAAGCGAGCGCAGGCGGUUUUUUAAGUCUGAUGUGAAAGCCUUCGGCUCAACCGAAGAAGUGCAUCGGAAACUGGGAAACUUGAGUGCAGAAGAGGACAGUGGAACUCCAUGUGUAGCGGUGAAAUGCGUAGAUAUAUGGAAGAACACCAGUGGCGAAAGCGGCUGUCUGGUCUGUAACUGACGCUGAGCUCGAAAGUAUGGGUAGCAAACAGGAUUAGAUACCCUGGUAGUCCAUACCGUAAACGAUGAAUG
rnacentral:rRNA from 2 species